UACGGAGGGGGCUAGCGUUGUUCGGAAUUAUUGGGCGUAAAGCGCGUGUAGGCGGCUUUGCAAGUCGGGUGUGAAAGCCCUCAGCUCAACUGAGGAAGUGCGCCCGAAACUGCAGAGCUUGAGUGCCGGAGAGGGUGGCGGAAUUCCCCAAGUAGAGGUGAAAUUCGUAGAUAUGGGGAGGAACACCGGUGGCGAAGGCGGCCACCUGGACGGUAACUGACGCUGAGGCGCGAAAGCUAGGGGAGCAAACGGG
rnacentral:rRNA from 1 species